rnacentral:rRNA from 1 species
CGGUCAGGACGAACGCUGGCGGCGUGCUUAUUACAUGCCAGUCGAGCGGAUCUUCAUUAGCUUGCUUUUGAAGAUCAGCGGCGGACGGGUGAGUAACACGUGGGUAACCUGCCUGUAAGACUGGGAUAACUUCGGGAAACCGGAGCUAAUACCGGAUAAUCCUUUCCCUCACAUGAGGGAAAGCUGAAAGACGGUUUCGGCUGUCACUUACAGAUGGGCCCGCGGCGCAUUAGCUAGUUGGUGAGGUAACGGCUCACCAAGGCAACGAUGCGUAGCCGACCUGAGAGGGUGAUCGGCCACACUGGGACUGAGACACGGCCCAGACUCCUACGGGAGGCAGCAGUAGGGAAUCUUCCGCAAUGGACGAAAGUCUGACCGAGCAACGCCGCGUGAACGAUGAAGGCUUUCGGGUCGUAAAGUUCUGUUGUCAGGGAAGAACAAGUACCGGAGUAACUGCCGGUACCUUGACGGUACCUGACCAGAAAGCCACGGCUAACUACGUGCCAGCAGCCGCGGUAAUACGUAGGUGGCAAGCGUUGUCCGGAAUUAUUGGGCGUAAAGCGCGCGCAGGCGGUUCCUUAAGUCUGAUGUGAAAGCCCCCGGUUCAACCGGGGAGGGUCAUUGGAAACUGGGGAACUUGAGUGCAGAAGAGGAGAGCGGAAUUCCACGUGUAGCGGUGAAAUGCGUAGAGAUGUGGAGGAACACCAGUGGCGAAGGCGGCUCUCUGGUCUGUAACUGACU